rnacentral:rRNA from 1 species
UACGUAGGGUGCGAGCGUUGUCCGGAAUUAUUGGGCGUAAAGAGCUUGUAGGCGGUCUGUCGCGUCUGCUGUGAAAAUCCGGGGCUCAACCCCGGACUUGCAGUGGGGUACGGGCAGACUAGAGUGUGGUAGGGGAGACUGGAAUUCCUGGUGUAGCGGUGAAAUGCGCAGAUAUCAGGAGGAACACCGAUGGCGAAGGCAGGUCUCU